UUAUUUUUAGUUUUUGAGCCCAAUUUGGAAGCCCAACACGACCUAACCCAUUACCCCUUCUUCUUUAACCUUACACCCUAACCUUUCUUCUGAAUCUAGACUACCAAUACCUAAAACCCUAGACCAUAAGAACCUGCCGCCGUCGCAACACCACCCCCACCACCAAGCAACAGCCGCCGCAUCUCCCUUUCCCACCAUCUCCUAUGCCAAAAAACCACCCUCUCCAAUACUAGACCCCUCGUCUCACCUUCUUCUUCUUCUUCACCAAACACAAACCCUAGGAACACAUCUCGGAACACAGCCACUGCCCGCCAGCUAGCCUCCCACGUAGCAGUGCCAUUCUUCUUGCUUCAUCUCCAACCUCUCCAACACCAACCAUCCGCAACCUGACUCGCCGCAAACCAACCUUGCCUCCCUUCAUGAUUUCUUCUCAAAGCCUUCCGAUUUUCUGUCAUACAGCUCACACGCACACGCAGUCACAUAUAGGAAGGAAAAUGGCUUCUGUUGCUGAUUUCUAAGGUAAAGAAAAAAUGAAAAUGGUAGCUUCUUCUCCACUUAGCCACCUCUUCUGCCUCCAACACUGAUAGUACUUUUGUACAACUCCGGUUCUUGAGUUGCCGGAAGAUUUCACAUCAGCCAGAGUUUGAUUUGAAUAGACUGAUAUUCGUUGGAGUUUGUUUGAGGUUUCGUUCAGAUUUUUGUUCGUGUUUGAAUUCUCGUUGUCGUCGAGGUUUUUUCGGUCCGGGUUUCUAUUUAUACAGCAUCGCUAUAACUGACAAAUCUAUUUGAGGUCUUUUUCCCACCCCUUUCUUUAAUUAAUGCAUGAUGUUUUGGUGUUCUGUUUAGUUCUUUUAGUUUGAAUGACUUUGUAUUUCCAGUGAGUUUGUCAUAGCUCUUAAAACUAAUUCUCCAUGUUUACCUUUGAAAUGUUCUUACUGGACAUUAGUACAUUAGAGUGAAUGAUGAAUUUGGAAUUAAGACACAAGAUGCCUAAGAUAAUUCAUGGUUCAUGUGCCGAUUCAGAAAUGGACUAAGGCAAAAACAGUGAUUUGGUUUAAAAAUGACAUUAAAGUGAAUAUUGGAAUGGCUCUAUGGGCUUUACAUCUGAUGUGCUUGCCGUUUAAGUUUUGAAUUAUUUAUUUUUACCAUGUCAUUUUAUUCAACUGAGUCGUAUUGAAUUACUAUUUUUUUUUACGCUUUUGCUAGGAGCAUGUUUAGGCCGACCACACUUGGGUAGGCAAACCUUAGGAUUUUUUGGUUCGGAUUUUGAGGUGAGAGGUCGUUCUCUUAGUUAAAUUUAUCCAAGAAAUGUCCCGAAGUAUUUGUAUUUGGAGACCGAAAGUAGAACUCUUAGUAUUUUAUUUUAUUUUUAUUUUUAUUUUCAUUUUUUCUUUUAUUAGGUGGGGAUAACCUCAAGUCUCGUGUGUGUUUAUUCUGCUUUUUCGUGUUUAUUUUUACCUCAAUUUGAAUAUUCUAAAAUCUAAUUAGAUAGAGUACGCAAUCGUGACUUUCAUGGGAUUUGGGGAGUGCCUACCCGAAUCUCUGGUGCAGACAUAGUUUUGUACUACAAAGUGUUUAAAAGGAAAAAUUAUUUUUAUAAUACGGUGACCUGACACACUGAAAUCAAUGUUAAGUGACAACUCUGAAAAAUCCUUUGAAACACAUCUUUUUAUCACUUUCAAAAUUGAAACCCCUUUUGAGCUCCAAAUCUUUUUAUUAUUAUUAAGGGGGUUAAUAAAGUUGUAAAAAAAGGGUGUGACAACUUUGGCAACUCUGCUGGGGAAUUGCAGGUUCGAGCUGGUACUUGAUCUUGUUGGCUUUUAGGAUAUUCGGUUGAGGUGUUUGUUUUUUUAUUUGCUUUGUUUAUUUGGUUUGUUUAUCUUAUUUCCUUGUUUUGUUGGUUAUUUGUUUAUCAUUUUUCUUUAUGUGUUACUGCUUUAUAAACUGUCAUCAUUUGCAUAACCAUGAGUCUUCUUUCUGCAACAAGUCCUCCGGAGUACGUUUGAGCGUACACGGCCUUUUGUGAGUCACCCGUGUCUUUAGGGGGGUGACGUGGGAGCGUGGAGUGGGCGGACAGCUAGAGCAACCGUCAUCGACCACGUGCUGCCCCGAAUUGCUUUGUCUAGUGAAUCCCAAAUUUAGGUCAGCCUGUCGGUCAUUCUUAUUUGCAUCACGUCAUUUGGACCUAGUAGGGCUCUGUCCCAGGCACCGUGUCCGUUUGUAGGAAGUCUAUCCAAAUUUUGUCAAAAAUGGGCCCGUGGUCCAAAAAGACAUUCAAUCAUCCCUAUGUGAUACAUGUUGCAUCUUUGAGGGUAAAAAGGUCAUUUGAAGGACCGAUGUUUGGGAGAGAAGGGUGAAAAUGAAGCAAGUAGGGCAUAGUUAUAUUUUUCUUUCACAACUUUUUCAAAAAAAAAUAGACCAAAAAAAUGAAAAUGAAAAAAAUCCAAAAAGAGAUUUUACACUUUCCCAUCAUUUUCCAAAAAUUCAAAAAAAAUAAAAAAAGAAAAUCCAAAAAGAUUUUACAUUUUGCAUCAUUUUUCAAAAAGACAAAAAAAUAUUUUUUCCAAAUUAGUGUCAUUUUUUAAGCUUUCUCCCAUAUCCAAUCUUCCCGAACUACGCGAACAUGAUUCUCGUCUUUCGGGACAUGAUACAUAGGCAACCACAUAAGGUCCGGUCUUCCUAGUGAUUCUUAGGUUCUUGGCUUUGCGGGGUCUUAGCCAAAUCUUGCAAGUCUAGCCACUUUUGGCCACAUCGGCCAUUCUUGCAAAAUGGGGUUAUUUUCGCAGAAGUGAUUCAAUAACCCAUGUCUUAGGAUCUUAAGUCCACAACUAGGUGUAAUAUUACUUUAAGGUUCCUCCUUUUUGAGGUUGCAUCUUUAUCCACUUUUGGCCAUAUUGGCCGAUUUUGCUAGAAUGGGUCAUAUCUGCAAAUUAAUUUUGCGCCACGAUUAUCGGGAGUUUGAAUUCAUAUAAGCCUUAGUGAGGUAUAUCUCCAUAUCUUAGAUUUCACCUUUGUUGAGUUUGCAUUAAUAGCCACUCUUGGCCAUGUAGGUUAUUUUUCAAAAAUAGCCCAAUCUUGUCUUGCAUGUGUCCAAUAGGAGGUGUGGUCUCACAUAGUGUCUCGAGUCAUUUAAUCUGUUUGGUAUUAUUUUUCUCAUUCAGGUAUGGAUUCAUUUAUCAGAGCUCGAGCACGACAGAUACCCCGGGACCAUCACAUUUGGGAGUUGUUUGAGGAGACUUUUUAUUUUUGAGUUUGUAUUAUAUUAUUUUUUGCUUUCUAGUCUUGUAUGGUAGUAUUGAGUCUUUUAGUUGGUGUAACAGUUUGUCGUAGUAUAGUUGAGUUUGUCAAGUCUCG
rnacentral:lncRNA from 1 species